rnacentral:SRP_RNA from 2 species
GCUGGGCAUGGUGGCACGUGCCUGUAGUGCCAGCUACUCAGGAGGCUAAGGCAGGAGGAUCAUUUGAGUCCAAGAGUUCUGGGUUGUAAUGCACUGUGUCUAUCAGGUGUUUGCACUAAGUUCAGCAUCAAUAUAGUGACCUCCCAGGAGUGGGGGACCACCAGGCUGCCUAUGAACCAGCCCAGGUUGGAAAUGGAGCAGGUCAAAACUCCCACGCUGAUCAGUAUUGGGACUGUACCUGUGAAUAGCCACUGCGCUCCAGCCUGGGCAACACAGUGAGACCCUGUCUCUA